rnacentral:lncRNA from 1 species
UCUCUUUCCUAAGUCUUAAUGGUCUCAGUUCCAUUUACCAGUGUGCUAUAUUAACUCUGUCAACUUUUCUGUGUUUACUUUUUCUAGCCGUUGCAUGGUUCUCUAAAUAACAGGCACGCGCGUAGAUCACAAUUGUUUGAUCCAUCAAGUGUAGACAUCUGUGGACCUCCUACCAAGAUAGCUGCCUGAUCUCCUUCCCACCUUUCUUCUCCCAUCCUAUCAGCAUAACUAUUAAAUCCAAGAAGGCAGAGGAGGAGAAGAAGAAAAGACAAAACCAUGGAUA